GGCAGAGUGGCUUAGUGGUUAGCAGAUUUGCCUCACACUUUCACGGUUGGGGGUUCGAAUCCCGCCUCUGCCC